CGAAUGUGGAGAGGUUAGAGGUUUUUCAUGGCAAUGUUGGGAGGCUGAGAUUUAAGUAGUAGGCAACGAGACUUAGUGAAAGAAAUGAGACGACUAGCAUGACAAUGAUAGUAAUGGUAUUUAGGGAAAUGAUCAUCUUGCCUGUGAUCCUGCUUGGAAGAAGAACAAAUUUGUGAAGCAGACGAACCAGUGUAGUCGAACGAAUCCUCACACUCCGAAGCGGUACGGAACUUUAUCGAGAAGAAACAAUCCGAAAAAAAACAAUCAACACACGACAACGCCAGAACAUAUGCACGACAUGCACAACACAUAUGAUGCAUGAACGAUUUAAUUAUGCACGACAC
rnacentral:lncRNA from 1 species